GUGGGGAAUAUUGGACAAUGGGCGCAAGCCUGAUCCAGCCAUACCGCGUGGGUGAAGAAGGCCUUCGGGUUGUAAAGCCCUUUUGUUGGGAAAGAAAUCCUGUCGAUUAAUACUCGGUGGGGAUGACGGUACCCAAAGAAUAAGCACCGGCUAACUUCGUGCCAGCAGCCGCGGUAAUACGAAGGGUGCAAGCGUUACUCGGAAUUACUGGGCGUAAAGCGUGCGUAGGUGGUGGUGUAAGUCUGCUGUGAAAGCCCUGGGCUCAACCUGGGAAUUGCAGUGGAUACUGGAUCACUAGAGUGUGGUAGAGGGAUGCGGAAUUUCUGGUGUAGCAGUGAAAUGCGUAGAGAUCAGAAGGAACAUCCGUGGCGAAGGCGGCAUCCUGGGCCAACACUGACACUGAGGCACGAAAGCGUGGGGAGCAAACAGGAUUAGAAACCCUAGUAGUCC
rnacentral:rRNA from 1 species